AUGUCUUCACCGCCGCCAAGCCCGUCUCUUCCGCUGCUGGUCACCUUGUCGCCUCCGGCGACCACCACGACCGUCACCCCGCUCCUGCCCGCGUCGGGAUCCUCUGUCGCGCCCGCCCCCACCGUCCUCACCUGGGAGGAGGUGUCCGGGUUGCUGCGGGACCUAACCCAGGCGGUCCAGGAGAUCCACCUGUUCUUGGCCGGGUCCUACGGGCCGCACCCGGUUGCGUCGCCCAUUGUCGCCCCCGUGCCGCUGUGGCUGCCGUGGCAGCCGCCGUACCAGGCGGUCUUCGCCGCGCUCGCCGGGCCGCUACAGCAGCCGCUGCAGUCGCCAUUCAUCACCACCACUGCCCAACCCUGGCUGCAGUGGCAGCCGCCGCUCCUGGCGGCCUCCGCCGCGCCCGGCGCUCCGCCACAGCAGUCGUUGCAGCUGCAGCAGCCACCGCCGGUCAGCUCCACCGCCCAGUAUGGGAUGCCCUAUGACGGGAGUGCGACGACCUCGUUCCCAUCAGCGCCGCCGCCAUCCCAGGGCGUCCACAUCCAGCAGAUCAAGUCCCUGUCGUCGACGUCACCGCUUCCGUCUUGGAUCGCUACUCGCCACGUGUCGGUGGCGGUGAGGCUGCAGGCUGCUGCGCGCGGCCUCCUAGCGCGUCGGCGUGUGCGGGAGAUGCGUGGUCUGCAGCUGCCGCUCCUCCAAGUUGCCCUUCGCUGUGCAAAGGACCUCGAUCUCGUCCACUGCGUCGGGGAUCUUGGGCAUGCAGUUUCCCCCACGGGCGGCUGGCAUGCUGUUUUCCCCGCGGGCAGCGACCUCAAAGUCUGCGACAUCGGCGGUUGGGGGGGGGGGGGCGCACCCCUCCUCGUCAUUCUCCAUCGCAAACUCUCCACUCUUCCAUGUGCGGUGUAG
rnacentral:rRNA from 1 species